UCGUAACAAGGUUUCCGUAGGUGAACCUGCGGAAGGAUCAUUAUUAAUUUUAAGGAUUAGCAGUUUUCCUUUACUGGAGGCUGUUAAUUUCCUGUGAACUGGGGCUCGUGCCAACUAGUUGGCUCGAGUCCGUCUUAAUGCUCUUGUGUGUUUUCUUGUUUUUAACGAGUUUCGGCUCGCUUAAUCCAAGACAACUUUCAGCAAUGGAUCUCUUGGCUCUUGCAUCGAUGAAGAACGCAGCGAAAUGCGAUACGUAAUGUGAAUUGCAGAUUCGUGACUCAUCGAAAUUUUGAACGCAUAUUGCACCUAGCGGCCAUUCCGUUAGGUAUGCUUGUUUGAGUGUCUGUCUGAAUUUCUCAGCUCGCUUGAUUGCUCUGCUCUUAAGCGCAGCUGGCCGUGGCGCUGGCUUUAGCAAUAAAGCCCUUGCUUUAAUUCCGACAGCGGUCUGCUUUUAGUUGGCUCUCUCCGAGCUGGCAAGUAACCGAUAUCCUGGUCAAGUACUUGGGUGGAGGCUGCCUGUCAUARCGGCGAGAAUGAACCAAGGCAACCCUUUAAAACUUAAUCCAUUCUACCUGGACCUCAAAUCAAGCAAGGCUACCCGCUGAACUUAAGCAUAUC
rnacentral:rRNA from 1 species